UGCAUAACCAGGGCAGCCCAGCAGCGUCGU
rnacentral:piRNA from 1 species